rnacentral:lncRNA from 1 species
CUUUUUUUUUUUUUUUUUUUUUUUUUUUUUUGUAUUUUUAGUAGAGAGUAGGUUUCACCAUGUUGUCCAGGCUGGUCUCAAACUCCUGACCUCAGGUGAUCCACCUGCCUUGGCCUCCCAAAGUGCUAGGAUUACAGGCAUGAGCCACCACGCCUGGCCACUUUUUGACUAUUAUGAAUAAUGCUGCUAUGAACAUUGAUGUAAAAGUUUUUGUGUAGACAUAAGAUUUUUUAUUCACUUGCCCCACAGUUUUACCAACAUCAUUGCCUGUCCCACCACAACCACCACUAACACCUCCACCGCCAUCACCUCCACCAUCACUAUCCCUACUCCUACUAACACCACCACUGCCUCAAUUAUCACCACCUUACCUUUUCCACUGGCUCUACCACCUCCACACCAUCUUAACCAGCAUGCCCAUUACCUCCACCUUUAUUACCACCACCAUUAUAAUCACCAUCAUCACCUCCAUCACCACCACCGCUCCCACUGCCACCAUCACCACCACCACCUGACCAUCCAUCUCCUCUGCCAACAUCAUCAUCAUCACUUCCAUCACCUCUGCCACCUCCUCCACCUCUCUCUAUGUCCACAUAGUAGCAAUGCAGAUACAUUCAUCCUGGUUGCCUUGGUUGGCUGUCAGAUAAUUUUAUCCAUAAAAGCAUCUCUGGAGGUUUGGUGAGAGCAAUUAAGGAGCAAGAACAGUGAUGACAGUAAAUAUGAGUAGUUCUUUAACCUUUUCACAAGCCUGAGAACAGGCUCUAUAAGUAGCCAGUGGCUUUUGGAAGUUAUUCUAAGGCACAAUAGUAACAACAAACUUAUUCCUUAAAAUUAAGGUAGUAGAAAGGAUGCUAGAAGAUGGGAAAAGUGAAUAAAUUUACUGCAUACGUCAAAGCUGCCAAGGGGUCAAAUAUGGGCCACAUUUGAAAAUUCUGUUCCAAACUCCAUCUGUUCUUAGCCAGAUGAGUGAGUGUGUUUCCACAUCAUUUGAGUAAUUAAAACCUCUCACUGGAUACAUUAAAAGUAAGAUACAGGCAUUUUGCUUUAAAGCCUGUCACAUUAUUUUUUCUGAAGCAUAUUUCUUUUGAUGAUUGAGGUUAUCCAGCCACCACUUGUAUGCAGUCAUCUCCGUUAGGCUAAAGGGAGACCUAUGCCUCAGGGAUGAAUCAGCUCUGGGUAAUGCGCCAACUCAGAAAGUACAUUAGAAAUGAAAUGAUUAGGGCAAUGUGGAACACUGUGAAAGCUCAAUCUUCUACCUCCCUCCUACUUGGCACUGGCAGAGGACCCUUCUACAAAAGACCAGAAGGUGAAGGGUGGCCCCAGAUCCCAGUAACAGAGUCCUUUUCUCUUGUCGGACUCUCAUUUCUAUUUCUGUUACCCUUCUUCCACAUCCUCCUCCAGCCUCUGCUUUCACCAACUUUCCCCAAUCUCUGUGUCACUAAUUCAUUAAUAAACUGAUGAUUGCAUUGAAAAAGAAAAGAAAA